rnacentral:misc_RNA from 1 species
UUAUAGCCCCGAUAGUAGCGUUUGUCUGAGCUAUUUUUCUGCUUUCGGCGACGCGGCUCCGCCGCGUCGCCGAAAGCAGAAAAAUAGCUAGUGCGGAUAGCGGGAUCAAGC